UGGUAUAUUGACCAUACGAAGGUAUUGAAAUAAGAUUUUAAUUGAGUGCUAAGAGAAUGGAUAAAUGAGGAAAAUCUUUUUUAAGUAAAAUUUUAUAAUUUAAAUAAAAGAUAAAAAUGUCUUUAUGUUAAAGUGGGACGAUAAGACCCUAAGAAUCUUUGUAUACUUAUGUGUAUAUAUUUAUAUAUAAGUAUAUUUUAUUGGGGCGAUAUAGAAAUAUUAAAAAACUUUAUAAUGAAUUUAUUUUAUAAAAUUUAGAUAAGAUACUCUAGGGAUAACAGCGUUAUUAUUUUGGAAAGUUCAUAUUGAUAAAGUAGUUUGCGACCUCGAUGUUGAAUUAAUGUGUCUUAUAGGUGUAGUAGCUUAUGAAGAGAGAUUGCUCAUCUUUUAAAUCAUUA
rnacentral:rRNA from 1 species